rnacentral:rRNA from 1 species
UACGUAGGGGGCAAGCGUUGUCCGGAUUUAUUGGGCGUAAAGAGCGUGUAGGCGGCCAUGUAGGUCCGUUGUGAAAACUCGAGGCUCAACCUCGGGACGCCGAUGGAAACCAUGUGGCUAGAGUCCGGAAGAGGAGAGUGGAAUUCCUGGUGUAGAGGUGAAAUUCGUAGAUAUUCGCAAGAACACCAGUGGCGAAGGCGGCUCACUGGCCCGAUACUGACGCUGAGGCACGAAAGCGUGGGGAGCAAACAGG